rnacentral:ribozyme from 1 species
ACAUACACACACAAAAAUGAGGUUGAGAGUCCCGACAAGAACGAUAAAUUCAUAUGAGAAAGAGUUUGUAAGGAGUAACGUCUUUUUCAUUGGAUUUAUCUCCUUUCGGGGGGAAUACUCACUUCAUCUUUGUUAUUUUUGUUCUUUCUUUGUCCUUUUUUUUCCUCUCAAUCC